rnacentral:rRNA from 1 species
AGCUCCAAUAGCGUAUAUUAAAGUUGUUGCGGUUAAAAAGCUCGUAGUUGGAUUUCUGCUGAAGCAGAUCGGUCCGCCCUCUGGGUGAGUAUCUGGUUUUGUUUUGGCAUAUGCUUAGACUUUGCAGCUGCACUUGACUGUGUGGUGUGAAGGCUGGGCCAUUUACUUUGAGGAAAUCAGAGUGUUUCAAGCAGGCCAUUGCCUUGAAUACACUAGCAUGGAAUAAUAUGAUAUGACUGUGGUUUUAUUUUGUUGGCUUUUAGAAUUAGAGUAAUGGUUAAUAGGGAUAGUUGGGGGCAUUCAUAUUUAACUGUCAGAGGUGAAAUUCUUGGAUUUGUUAAGGAUGAACAACUGCGAAAGCAUUUGCCAAGGAUGCUUUCAUUG